CGGUAACGUGGAGUAACAUGCCUCACACAGGGGGAUAACAGUUAGAAAUGACUGCUAAUACCGCAUAAGCGCACGGCAUCGCAUGAUGCAGUGUGAAAAACUCCGGUGGUGUGAGAUGGAUCCGCGUCUGAUUAGGUAGUUGGUGGGGUAACGGCCCACCAAGCCGACGAUCAGUAGCCGACCUGAGAGGGUGACCGGCCACAUUGGGACUGAGACACGGCCCAA
rnacentral:rRNA from 1 species